rnacentral:lncRNA from 1 species
GUGACAGGUCCUCAGAGUGGCCACAGUCCAGAGGGAGAAUCUUAGAGAUGGAUGCAUCUUCCAAGAUGGAGAUUAUAGCCAUCACUAACACUGUCUUCACACACCUGCAAGCCGUUCGAGAAAGCAGCUUAAGCAUUCUCUCUGGGAUCAUCAUCUUUAACAUUUACAGAUCCGGAUUGCCCCAGCAGGGAUAUUGCAAGGCUGCCUGACCAUUGCCUGGUGCAGCAGGAACAUUAUCCUGCACCUUCUAAAUUCAAUACUUCUGGGUAACAAAAUGAGGAAGAAAGGAAAAAUGCUGCUAUAUUACAAUACUCAUGGUCAAGUUUCUUAAUACUGAAUUAUUUAGGGGAAAGUACUUGCUCUUUUUAUCUCUUUUUGAAAAUAGAAUAAUUUUAAAUUAUAAAUUGUCUUUUAUGUAUUAAAGGAGGUUUUCUUCCAAAAGCCCCUUUCUCACCAGAGCUUCUUGAGAGCAAAUAUGCUUUAGAUGGAAGAGGAGGUUGCUCCAUUUUUACUCACAUUUUCACUGUUACCACCAUUUGUUUCUCUAUUUGUGGAAAAUAGGUCAUGCUAUCUAAUUAAAGAAUUAGGGCUAACCUGGCGUAAACAGUAUGGACUUUAAACCAUAUCUCACCUCACAUAUAACUUUGUGUAUUUGUGGCUUCUAGUGACAAAGGUAAGGCUGGGAUACUCUGUGAGCCACGAUAAAUGUGCACAAGAACUCUUGAGACAUCACUGGGGGCCAUUUUUGCACCUUUCUUUAGCUAUUGCUCAAGACAACUCACUGACACCGUUCAUUAAUUUUCAGUGCCAUGAGACCAAUACUACACUUAGCACCCUUCCCGUCAUUUUCCAACAGUUGGCUAUCCACAAAGCUCUUUGUAGCUGAAAUGAAUGAGACUCUUCACACAAUUGGCCCCACCAGGAUAAUGGCUUUAAAGAAAAUACCGAAUAGAGAGAGGAGCCUUGAGGUAAUGGAGCACUACUGGGUAGUACAGAUAAAAGCGUGGAAAUGGCAGAUACUUGGAGCUGCAUAAGUGAACUGCGAUGGAACAGAAGACCUCAUUUUGGACUUGGAACAAAAGGAAAGAGGCAAGGAAUACAAAAAAGGAAAGAAUGUGUAACUAAAAAGAGAAAAGAAUUUAUGGUCAAUCAUUUAACUUCAUUAACCUGCCUACGAGAUAUUCACAUAUAUAUAGGAUAAAGCCUAAAACUCCUAAAAUUCAAAAGAGAGUGAUUGAGUGUCCCACAUUUGGCCCUCCCAUUUCUCCUGAAUAUCUCCCCCUACUCUCCAACUCUCCCCUGUGCUCCAACCAUCCUGACUGACCUCCCUUUCCUGAAAUGAGUGAGAUGGUUCUACGCCCCUGAGCUCUGUGCAUGCUGUUCUUGCCACCUCAGAUGUCUCCUCUCUGGGCCCUCCAUCCAACCUUAUGACGGGGAAAACCUAAGUCAAUGCCUCUCUUUCCUUCUGAUCUUCUCUUGACUUCCUCUAAUCAGCUAAGGAGAGCACUUCAUCAUGCAUUACGAUUACAUAUUUCCAUGUUCUUGUGUUAAUCUCUGUGUCCACGCACCCAGGCACUGAGCUGUCUGGCACACAGCAGGCAUUCAACACAUUUUGCUACAUGA